rnacentral:rRNA from 1 species
GAUGAACGCUGGCGGCGUGCCUAAUACAUGCAAGUCGAGCGAACAGACGAGGCUUUUGCUCCUUUGACGUUUGCGGCGGACGGGUGAGUAACACGUAUGUACCCUACCUAUAAGACUGGGAUCACUUCGGGACACCGGAUCUAACACCGGAUCAUAUUUCGAACCGCAUGGUUCGUUAGUGAAAGCUGGCUUUGCUGUCACUUAUAGAUGUUCCUUCGCCGUAUUAGCUAGUUGGUAAGGUAACGGCUUACCAAGGCGACGAUACGUAGCCGAUCUGAGAGGGUGAUCGGCAACACUGGAACUGAGACACGGUCCAGACUCCUACGGGAGGCAGCAGUAGGGAAUAUUACGCAAUGGGCGAAAGCCUGACGGAGCAACGCCGCGUGAGUGAUGAAGGUCUUCGGAUCGUAAAGCACUGUUAUGAGGGAAGAACAGACGUGUAAGUAAAUGUGGACGUCUUGACGGUACCUAAUCAGAAAGCAACGGCUAACUACGUG